rnacentral:rRNA from 1 species
UAGGGAAUCUUCGGCAAUGGACGAAAGUCUGACCGAGCAACGCCGCGUGAGUGAAGAAGGUUUUCGGAUCGUAAAACUCUGUUGUUAGAGAAGAACAAGGACGUUAGUAACUGAACGUCCCCUGACGGUAUCUAACCAGAAAGCCACGGCUAACUACGUGACAGCAGCCGCGGUAAUACGUAGGUGGCAAGCGUUGUCCGGAUUUAUUGGGCGUAAAGCGAGCGCAGGCGGUUUCUUAAGUCUGAUGUGAAAGCCCCCGGCUCAACCGGGGAGGGUCAUUGGAAACUGGGAGACUUGAGUGCAGAAGAGGAGAGUGGAAAUCCAAGUGUAGCGGUGAAAUGCGUAGAUAUAUGGAGGAACACCAGUGGCGAAGGCGGCUCUCUGGUCUGUAACUGAAGCUGAGGAUCGAAAGCGUGGGGAGCAAACAGG